rnacentral:tRNA from 1 species
GGGGUUAUAGUCUAGUUAGGUAGGAUGGCGGUCUCCAAAACCGCUGACGGGAGUUCAAAUCUCUCUAACCCCACCA